GGCCUGGCCCGACCCGGCCCGAAAAUUUCGGGUAUCUUGGGGGUUCUUGUUCGGGUAGGUUGGGGCUAUAACCCUACCCGGAACAAAAUGCCCGAAAUCGCUUCCACAAACCCUAGACGACCCCAAACUCCGUCGGAGCACCAUCUCCGCCGGAGAAGGAAGCCGCUCUCAUUCGUCGCCGAACCCUCUCAUGGCUUCUGAGAACCGACGUUUCUCCUAUUCCCGUCGAAUCUUUAAUGUGGUGGGAGCUUCGCUCGCGCGUUCAACCGGGUUUUCUUCCUCGCCCUUUGUGAGCAUCGAUUGCUGUUUCCAUCGGAUGAGUUUCGAUUGUCGAUUCAACGGUUUAGGGGGGGUGUGGUCGUGAUUAGAUACGAGGUCCCUCACUCGCGAGUCGCGGGUGACUGGCUGAUCGAGCUCCAGGGUAGUGAGAAUUGGUGUCGGGGGCUCGCGUAGGGGAUUGAUGUGGGCCGUUUGUUUCUUAGUGUGACGGAAGAAUCGUCCGAGAAGCAGACUCGAGAUUUUAAAUUUUUCCCAGAGAUUCUUUCGUUUGAUCAAGCACGGACUUCAGGCUGCAGAGGUUCUUCAGUUGAAAAAUCCAAUUUUGCAAACUCUGCCCUCCUCUUAGUCUCAUCUCUGUUUAUUUUAUUGUUAGAUUCAUGGGGAUCUCUAUGUAGUGAAUCCCUUUUGGGACUUAUGUGAAGCUGAUCUGGUGGGAUGUUAAUGUUAUAUCGACAUGCAGAUUUGACAAAAUUAUUAAGAAGGAAAUUCCUUCCACUGUUGUCUAUUAGGAUGAUAAGGACUCUUCUGGAAGCUUUCGAGAGGGUUAAAAUCAGGCACGCUUUCAGGGAAGGCAACCAAUUGUGCAGAUAAGCUUGCUCGGAGAGGAAGGAUGCUGAAAGAACCGUCUUGUAUUUUGUUUGAACCUCCACCUGCUGCUAUGUUUCUUUUGAACCAUAACCAAGCUGGGAAAUCUAUCUCAAGACUAAAACUCUGUAUUUCUCUUCAUGUUUAAUUUAAAGCCUACUAUUUUCUGGAAUUUGAGGGUAAUUAUUUAAGAAUUCUUUUUAACU